GUCUACGGCCAUGCCACCUCGAACAAGCCCUAUUCCAUCUGAUCUCGGAAGCUAAGCAGGGUUGGGCCUGGUUAGUACUUGGAUGGGAGACCAUUAGGAAGACCAGGUGCUGUAGGCG
rnacentral:rRNA from 1 species